UACAGAGGUCUCAAGCGUUGUUCGGAAUCACUGGGCGUAAAGGGUGUGUAGGCUGCGUGUUAAGUCAGAUGUGAAAUCCCGGGGCUCAACCUCGGAACUGCAUCCGAUACUGGCAUGCUAGAGAAUUGGAGAGGAGUCUAGAAUUCACGGUGUAGCAGUGAAAUGCGUAGAUAUCGUGAGGAAUACCAAGUGCGAAGGCAGGACUCUGGACAUUUUCUGAAGCUGAGACACGAAGGCUAGGGGAGCAAACGGG
rnacentral:rRNA from 1 species